CUCGGAGCUGUCCGGCGUGGCUCCCUCUUCCAGGAUGGGUCCCAUUGAGCGAAGAUGAAAGGGGGUGGGAGAAAUGGGGGCGGGGAGGGGCGCUUGCUUUCCUCGUCCUCCUGCUCACACCGGCUGUUCCCUCAAGGCAAAAGGUCCCUAAUGACUUCCUUGAUUUUCUUGAUAAAACAGGACUUUUAUCCUAGAAGGAUGAGAAUCAGGCGAGGAGAUGCCAAACUUACUGCUCUAUGAUUUCAGAAACAGAGUGUCUCAGGUCUACGUGAGGACAGAGGGCAGAUAGCAUGAUCCUAAUAUCUCCCUGGCAUGCUUUCUUCCAGGUAUUGGUUCGUCCUUACCAUACUAAAACAUUCAUGAGCCGACCCUGUGAUGGGGACACCGCCAGGGCAGACACAGCCCGUUUGCAUGGUAUGGAGCUCACGGUUCAGUGGGGGACAUAGACGCAUCACCAGUGGGAAUGCAAAAUGGUACAGCCACUUUGGAAGACAAUCUGAAAAGGCAACUACACGGCAUCCUGGAAAAGGCAAAACUGUAGAGAUCAGUAAAAAGGUGUGUGUCUAGCUCCAUGAUGAAGAAUGCCAGCUUCUCCUGUGGAUGCUCAUACCAUCAAGAAUGUGAAAUCCAUGAGGGUAGCAUUUUGUCCUCACAACAACAGAUGCACAAUAAAAAUUUGCUAAUUGAAAGAAGAAGUGAAGGAACAACUCGCAGCCCUGUCUGAUGCUCAUUCCAGCUUCAGGACAUUUCUUCUUGCUGUUCCCACUCUGUGGGAACUCUUGGAACAGCUGUCAUAUUUUGGCUUCCGUGUCUCAGCUUGAAGAACAUCGAUGAAUGGUCUUCUGUGGCACAACCAGCUAGGUGUCUGUUGACUGCCUGUCUGGGACUACAUUUCCCAGGGGCCCUUGCAUUCACUUGAGGCCAUGAGACUAGUUCUGUUCAAUGGUUUGAGAGCAGAAGUGAUGUAUGUCACUUUAGGGCCAAAGCUUUAUUUAAAAAAAAUUUUCCCCUGCUUUAUUGAGAUAUAAUUGAUAAAUAAUACUGUAAUAUAUUUAUAGUGUACAACAUGGUGAUCUGGUAUAUGUAUACAUUGUGAACUUAUUACCACCAUCAAGUUAAUGAACAGAUCCAUCACCUCACAUAGUUACCUUUGUUUGGUGAGAAUGCUUAAGAUCUAGUCUCAGCAAAUUUUAAGUACACAAUACAGUAUUGUUAACCACA
rnacentral:lncRNA from 1 species